GAUGUGAAGCGAAACCCAAAAAGACAGUCACAGUUCGGAUUGAAGACUGAAAUUCGCCUUCAUGAAGCCGAAAUUGCUAGUAAUGGCAGGUCAGCAUACUGCCGUGAAUACGUUCCCGGGCCUUGUACACACCGCCCGUCACACCAUGAGAGUUGGGGAUACCCGAAGCCUGUGAGCCAACUGUAAAGAGGCAGCAGUCGAAGGUAGAAUCAAUGAUUGGGGUGAAGUCGUAACAAGGUAGC
rnacentral:rRNA from 1 species